GACGAACGCUGGCGGCGUGCCUAAUACAUGCAAGUUGAGCGAAGAGAGUUGGUACUUGUACCGACUGGAUGAGCAGCGGACGGGUGAGUAACGCGUGGGGAAUCUGCCUUUGAGCGGGGGACAACAUUGGGAAACGAAUGCUAAUACCGCAUAAUAUCUUUAAACACAAGUUUUAAGAUUGAAAGAUGCAAUUGCAUCACUCAAAGGUGAGAUCGCGUUGUCUUAGAUAGUUGGGGAGGGAAAGGCUCACCAAGGCGAUGAUACAUAGCCGAGCUGAGAGGGUGAUCUGCGCCACUGGGACUGUGACACGGCCCAAACUCCCCCGGGAGGCAGCAGAAUGGAAUAUCCGGCGAUGGACGCGAGUCUGACCGAGCAACGCGGCGCGAGUGAAGAAGGUUUUCGGAUCGUAAAAAUCUGUUUUUAGAGAAGAACGUUGGUGUGUGUGGAAAGCUGAUCAAGUGGGGGUAACUUAAUAGAAAGGGACGGCUAACUACGUG
rnacentral:rRNA from 1 species